rnacentral:rRNA from 1 species
GACGCUUUAGAAGUGAUGUUGCCGGGCGAUGGUUGACCCGGUCGUAAGGGAUCGAAAAUGAGUAGAGAAGUCAUCAUGGAAAGAGACAAGAAAAGCUGUAUGAAUAUCUUAGGUGCCCGUACCGCAAACCGACACAGGUAGAUAGGAAGAAGAUUCUAAGGCCAACGGGAGAAGGGUUGUUAAGGAACUCGGCAAGUUGACCCCGUAACUUAGGGAUAAGGGGUGCUCAAGUGAUUGAGCCGCAGAGAAUAGGCCCAGGCGACUGUUUAGCAAAAACACAGGUCUCUGCUAAAUCGAAAGAUGACGUAUAGGGGCUGACACCUGCCCGGUGCCGGAAGGUUAAGAGGAGAUGUGAGAGCAUUGAAUUGAAGCCCCGGUAAACGGCGGCCGUAACAAUAACGGUCCUAAGGUAGCGAAAUUCCUUGUCAGGUAAGUUCUGACCCGCACGAAAGGUGUAACGAUCUGGGCACUGUCUCAACAACCCGCCCGGCGAAAUUGUAGUACCGGUGAAGAUGCCGGUUACCCGCGACUAGACGGAAAGACCCCAUGGAGCUUUACUGUAGCCUAAUAUUGGAUUUCGGUAUUUCACGUACAGGAUAGGUGGGAGACUGGGAAGCACAGGCGUCAGCUUGUGUGGAGUCGACCUUGGGAUACCACUCUUGGAGUGCUGGAAUUCUAACCUGCGGCUUUGAAGCAAGUCGGGGGACAUUGUUAGGUGGGCAGUUUGACUGGGGCGGUCGCCUCCUAAAGAGUAACGGAGGCGCUCAAAGGUUCGCUCUGCAUGGAUGGAAACCAUGCGUCAGAGUGUAAACGCAAAAGCGAGCCUAACUGCGAGAAUGACGGUUCGAGCAGUAACGAAAGUUGGAGUUAGUGAUCCGGCGGUAUGUGAAUGGAAAUGCCGUCGCUCAACGGAUAAAAGCUACCCUGGGGAUAACAGGCUGAUCUCCCCCAAGAGUCCACAUCGACGGGGAGGUUUGGCACCUCGAUGUCGGCUCAUCGCAUCCUGGGGCUGAAUUCGGUCCCAAGGGUUUGGCUGUUCGCCAAUUAAAGCGGUACGCGAGCUGGGUUCAGAACGUCGUGAGACAGUUCGGUCCCUAUCUGUCGUGGGCGUAGGAUAUUUGCAAGGAGCUGUCCCUAGUACGAGAGGACCGGGAUGGACGCACCUCUGGUGCACCAGUUGUCACGCCAGUGGCACAGCUGGGCAGCUAUGUGCGGAACGGAUAAACGCUGAAGGCAUCUAAGCGUGAAGCCGCCCUUAAGAUAAGAUAUCCCUUCUGUUUACAGAGUAAGACCCCUUGAAGACUACAAGGUUGAUAGGCUCAAAGUGUAAGCACGGUGACGUGUUUAGCUAGCGAGUACUAAUCGGUCGAGGGCUUAACCAA